GUCCUCGUGGCGCAAUGGAUAGCGCGUUCGACUUCUAAUCGAAAGGUUGUGGGUUCGAAUCCCACCGGGGACUGCA
rnacentral:tRNA from 1 species